rnacentral:rRNA from 1 species
AGUGAACGCUGGCGGCAGGCCUAACACAUGCAAGUCGAACGACCGCACAGUAAGAGCUUGCGCUUACGGGUGGCGAGUGGCGGACGAGUGAGACAUAAAUCGGAACCUACUUUUACGUGGUGAACAACGUAGAAAAACAAACACUAACACCGCAUACGACCUACGGGUGAGAGCAAGGGAUUUUGGGACCUUGCGCGAUUCAAUGAGCCGAUGUCGGAUUAGCUAGUUGGCGAGGUAAAGGCCCACCAAGGCAACGAUGCGUAGCUGGUCUGAGAGGAUGAUCAGCCACACUGGAACUGAGACACGGUCCAGACUCCUACGGGAGGCAGCAGUGGGGAAUAUUGUACAAUGGGCGAAAGCCUGAUCGAGCCAUACCGCGUGGGUGAAGAAGGCCUUCGGAUUGUAAAGCCCUUUUAUUAGGAAAGAAAAGAUGCAUGUUAAAAUCUCGCUGUUGUGACGGUACCUAAUGAGAAAGCCCCGGCUAACUUCGUG